rnacentral:rRNA from 1 species
UACGUAGGGGGCAAGCGUUGUCCGGAUUUAUUGGGCGUAAAGAGCGUGUAGGCGGUUUGGUAGGUCCGCUGUGAAAACUCGAGGCUCAACCUCGAGACGCCGGUGGAAACCAUCAGACUAGAGUCCGGAAGAGGAGAGUGGAGUUCCUGGUGUAGCGGUGAAAUGCGCAGAUAUCAGGAAGAACACCCGUGGCUAAGGCGGCUCUCUAGUACGGUACUGACGCUGAGACGCGAAAGCGUGGGGAGCGAACAGG